rnacentral:rRNA from 1 species
UACGUAGGGGGCUAGCGUUGGCCGGAAUCAUUGGGCGUAAAGCGCGCGUAGGCGGCCCGGUAAGUCCGCUGUAAAAGUCAAAGGCUCAACCUUUGAAUGUCAGUGGAUACUGCCGGGCUAGAGUCCGGAAGAGGCGAGUGGAACUCCUGGUGUAGCGGUGGAAUGCGCAGAUAUCAGGAAGAACACCGACGGCGAAGGCAGCUCGCUGGGACGGUACUGACGCUGAGGCGCGAAAGCGUGGGGAGCGAACAGG